rnacentral:rRNA from 1 species
GACGAACGCUGGCGGCGUGCCUAAUACAUGCGAGUAGAACGCUGAAGGAGGAGCUUGCUUCUCUGGAUGAGUUGCGAACGGGUGAGUAACGCGUAGGUAACCUGCCUGGUAGCGGGGGAUAACUAUUGGAAACGAUAGCUAAUACCGCAUAAGAGUAGAUGUUGCAUGACAUUUGCUUAAAAGAUGCAAUUGCAUCACUACCAGAUGGACCUGCGUUGUAUUAGCUAGUUGGUGGGGUAACGGCUUACCAAGGCGACGAUACAUAGCCGACCUGAGAGGGGGAUCGGCCCACCUGGGACCUGGACACGGCCCAGACCCCUUCGGGAGGGAGCAGUAGGGAAACUUCGGCAAUGGGCGGAAGUCUGACCGGGCAACGCCGCGGGAGGGAAGAAGGUUUUCGGGUCGUAAAGCUCCGUUGUAAGGGAAGAACGAGUGUGAGAGUUGAAAGUUCACACUGUGACGGUAUCUUAUCAGAAAGGGACGGCUAACUACGUG